rnacentral:lncRNA from 1 species
UUUGAAAAGCUUAGUGAAUGCUGUCAACAAGAGAAAUGAAUUGGAUGAGUCCAAGGUAAGAAUUUACAUAUAUUUAUUCUAACACUAUAUAAUAGUUACGAUAAUUUAUUCUAACACUAAAACAUUCCUCUCACAAUGUAGUUUGCUGCUACAUAUUUUGUAAUUAUUGAACACUACAUUUAACUACAAUUGACUAUAUUAAAACUACAGUUUGCAUUAAUGUACAGACUUGAACUACACAUUUUGUAGCUGUUAUUUGUAGUUUUGUAGCUGUUAUUUGUAUUUUGUAGCUGGCUCGCUGUUUUAAUAUACAGACCUGAACUACAUAUGACUUAGCUGGCUCACUGUUAUUUGUAACUAACACUAUAUA